GACGAACGCUGGCGGCGUGCUUAACACAUGCAAGUCGAGCGGUAAGGCCCUUUCGGGGGUACACGAGCGGCGAACGGGUGAGUAACACGUGGGUGACCUGCCCUCAGCUCUGGGAUAAGCCUGGGAAACUGGGUCUAAUACUGGAUAUGACUCCACGGUGCAUGUCGUGGGGUGGAAAGCCUUGUGCGGCUGAGGAUGGGCCCGCGGCCUAUCAGCUUGUUGGUGGGGUGANGGCCUACCAAGGCGACGACGGGUAGCCGGCCUGAGAGGGCGACCGGCCACACUGGGACUGAGACACGGCCCAGACUCCUACGGGAGGCAGCAGUGGGGAAUCUUGCGCAAUGGGCGAAAGCCUGACGCAGCGACGCCGCGUGAGGGAUGACGGCCUU
rnacentral:rRNA from 1 species